rnacentral:rRNA from 1 species
CCUACGGGCGGCUGCAGUGGGGAAUAUUGCACAAUGGGGGAAACCCUGAUGCAGCGACGCCGCGUGAGCGAUGAAGUAUUUCGGUAUGUAAAGCUCUAUCAGCAGGGAAGAAAAUGACGGUACCUGACUAAGAAGCCCCGGCUAACUACGUGCCAGCAGCCGCGGUAAUACGUAGGGGGCAAGCGUUAUCCGGAUUUACUGGGUGUAAAGGGAGCGUAGACGGCAAGGCAAGUCUGGAGUGAAAGCCCGUGGCUCAACCACGGGACUGCUUUGGAAACUGUGUUGCUGGAGUGCAGGAGGGGUAAGCGGAAUUCCUAGUGUAGCGGUGAAAUGCGUAGAUAUUAGGAGGAACACCGGUGGCGAAGGCGGCUUACUGGACUGUAACUGACGUUGAGGCUCGAAGGCGUGGGGAGCAAACAGGAUUAGAUACCCCUGUAGUC